CAUUAUUGAAUACUGAAUCGGUUCUGAUGCUGGCUCUUUACUGGGCAUGUGCUCGUCCGUUCAUAUUUACCUUCUCUUGUGCACAUUUUGUAGUCCUUUGGAACAAGUGAAUUUCGCGCUGCUGUGAUUAACUUCGCGGUGGUUGCGGUUUGAGGGAUUGGGUGUAACAGCCCUUCCUCUGUUUAUGCGCGUUGCAGCGAUUUACUUCGUGGUGACUGCGGUUUGGGGGUUGAGCGUCAGCACUUCCCCUGCUUUUGCUUUUUCCAAGGCUACGUUUUCAUAUACCCUAUACAAUGUUACAGAAUGUCUUUAAAGAUUGUGCUUGGUCGCAGUCACUAAACCUAUACAACUUUCAGCAACGGAUCUCUUGGCUCUCCCAUCGAUGAAGAACGCAGCGAAAUGCGAUAAGUAAUGUGAAUUGCAGAAUUCAGUGAAUCAUCGAAUCUUUGAACGCACCUUGCGCCCUUUGGUAUUCCGAAGGGCAUGCCUGUUUGAGUGUCAUUAAAUUAUCAACCUUGUUCGCUUUUACGAGCUUGAGCGAGGCUUGGAUGUGAGGGCUUGCUGGCUUCCUUCAGUGGAUGGUCUGCUCCCUUUAAAUGCAUUAGUGGGAUCUCUUGUGGACCGUCACUUGGUGUGAUAAUUAUCUAUGCCAUUUGACUGUGAAGCAAAAUUAUGGGAACCUGCUUAUAACCGUCUCGCAAGGGACAAUUUAAUUGACUAUUUG
rnacentral:rRNA from 1 species